ACAUACUGUUGAAGUCCGUACUUCCGUAUUUUUCGAGCAGUGCUUUGAAUAAUUUUGUAUUAUUUUAAAUUUAAGCUUCGAUUUUAUCUGAUAUUUUAAAAAUUAUCUCCUUAAUUUCCAAAAUCAAACUAACGGUUUAUUUUGCUAAAAAUAAUGCGACAAGCAAAAUUUAUACUACAUGAAUUAGUCCGACUGCGGGACACCUCAUAAUUGAGGAUGAGAAGCUUCCUGCAUGGUGGUUGGUUCUUCCCACCCUUGUGGCACACAAAAAAAAUAAUGUAUGAACAUGAAAGGAGAGAUAGCAUCUCUUCAAAUUUCAGCUAGAAGAUAUUCAAACUCUCAAAUGAAACUCUUUUAACUCUUUUAAACAGCAGCAACCAGGAGCAGAAGAUCAUAAAAUUACCUUAAUUGAAUAGUUGAAAAAUCUUCUUAAUAUGAAUGGAUUUUGAUGAAAUUGAUCGUUUUAGUCCUCUUUCAAAAUGAAAAAAAAAAUCAUCCUUCAAUGAAAGCUGCUUAUUCUACAGAUUAAGUUUCUUGCAAGAAAGGCAUGACAAUUUUCGUAAAAGCAUAUGAUUCCACUCCUCAUCAAGCUUUAACAAGGCAGAUUCAAAGAUUACAAGAUAGCAUUGAAGAAGAUGGAAGACAUCUGAAUCGUGUGAUGAAAAUUUGGGAUCUGGAAAUUGGAGAGAAAUUCUGUGACAUGGGAUUAAAAAAAAGGCAUGUUAGAAAAAUUCAACUGGUUCUGCUCUUUUUCCUAGAAUAACAUAUCUUUAUUCUUUAAAGAAAUUAUUGUUAGUUUCA